GGUGAGGUGUCCGAGUGGCUGAAGGAGCACGCCUGGAAAGUGUGUAUACGUUUAUAGCGUAUCGAGGGUUCGAAUCCCUCUCUCACCGCCA
rnacentral:tRNA from 17 species